ensembl:snRNA U6 U6 spliceosomal RNA
AACUGCUUCUCAAGAUUUAUACUUAAAUUAGAAUGAUACAGAGAAUAUCAGUGUGACUCCUGAAGAAGGAUGACACAAUAUUUCAUGAAGUAUUCUGUGGUUUU